rnacentral:rRNA from 1 species
UACACUCCUGCGGGAGGCAGCAGUGAGGAAUAUUGGCCAAUGGGUGGAAGCCUGAUCCAGCCAUCCCGCGUGCAGGAAGACGGCCCUAUGGGUUGUAAACUGCUUUUAUCUGGGGAUAAACCUACUUACGUGUAAGUAGCUGACGGUACCAGAAGAAUAAGCACCGGCUAACUCCGUGCCAGCAGCCGCGGUAAUACGGAGGGUGCAAGCGUUAUCCGGAUUUAUUGGGUUUAAAGGGUCCGUAGGCGGACUGAUAAGUCAGUGGUGAAAUCCGACAGCUUAACUGUCGAACUGCCAUUGAUACUGUUAGUCUUGAGUAAGGUUGAAGUGGCUGGAAUAAGUAGUGUAGCGGUGAAAUGCAUAGAUAUUACUUAGAACACCAAUUGCGAAGGCAGGUCACUAAGUCUUAACUGACGCUGAUGGACGAAAGCGUGGGGAGCGAACAGGAGUAGAAACCCGUGUAGUCCCAUGAU